rnacentral:lncRNA from 1 species
GAGCAGCUUGUGCGGCUCCAAGCUCAUCUUCUUCCUCCAAUCCUUUCAGUGCUCUAGGCUACGCUCUUAUCUGUUCCUCUUCCAAGACUUAGGUUCAUCGUCGUCCUCGUCGCUUCUUUCACUUUCAAUUUCUCUUCUCCAUUUCGAAUUUUCAAGUGGCCUCAACGGCGUCAUUUUCUCAGACUUUCGUUUGAUUCACGAGCAGGA